rnacentral:rRNA from 1 species
GACGAACGCUGGCGGCGUGCUUAACACAUGCAAGUCGAACGGAAAGACCCUGCUUUUGUGGGGUGCUCGAGUGGCGAACGGGUGAGUAGCACGUGAGUAACCUGCCCUUGACUUUGGGAUAACUUCAGGAAACUGGGGCUAAUACCGGAUAGGAGCUCCUGCUGCAUGGUGGGGGUUGGAAAGUUUCGGCGGUUGGGGAUGGACUCGCGGCUUAUCAGCUUGUUGGUGGGGUAGUGGCUUACCAAGGCUUUGACGGGUAGCCGGCCUGAGAGGGUGACCGGCCACAUUGGGACUGAGAUACGGCCCAGACUCCUACGGGAGGCAGCAGUGGGGAAUAUUGCACAAUGGGCGGAAGCCUGAUGCAGCAACGCCGCGUGCGGGAUGACGGCCUUCGGGUUGUAAACCGCUUUCGCCUGUGACGAAGCGUGAGUGACGGUAAUGGGUAAAGAAGCACCGACUAACUACGUG